AUUGAACGCUGGCGGCAUGCCUUACACAUGCAAGUCGAACGGUAACAGGUCUUCGGACGCUGACGAGUGGCGAACGGGUGAGUAAUACAUCGGAACGUGCCCAAUCGUGGGGGAUAGCUCGGCGAAAGCCGGAUUAAUACCGCAUACGAUCUACGGAUGAAAGCAGGGGAUCGCAAGACCUUGCGCGAAUGGAGCGGCCGAUGGCAGAUUAGGUAGUUGGUGGGGUAAAGGCUCACCAAGCCGACGAUCUGUAGCUGGUCUGAGAGGACGACCAGCCACACUGGGACUGAGACACGGACCAGACUCCUACGGGAGGCAGCAGUGGGGAAUUUUGGACAAUGGGCGCAAGCCUGAUCCAGCAAUGCCGCGUGCUGGAUGAAGGCCUUCGGGUUGUAAACUGCUUUUGUACGGAACGAAAAAGCUCUGGCUAAUACCCGGAGCUCAUGACGGUACCGUAAGAAUAAGCACCGGCUAACUACGUGCCAGCCGCCGCGGUAAGAC
rnacentral:rRNA from 1 species